rnacentral:rRNA from 1 species
UCCGACGGUGAGGGACGAAGGCUGGGGGCGCAAACCGGAUUAGAUACCCGGGUAGUCCCAGCAGUAAACGAUGCCAGCUAUGUGUUGCUGGAACCAUGGGUUCCAGCAGUGCCGAAGGGAAGCCGUGAAGCUGGCCACCUGGGAAGUACGGUCGCAAGGCUGAAACUUAAAGGAAUUGGCGGGGGAGUACCACAACCGGUGGAGCCUGCGGUUUAAUUGGAUACAACGCCGGGAAUCUUACCGGAGGGGACAGCAGUAUGAAGGCCAGGCUGAAGACCUUGCCAGAUCAGCUGAGAGGAGGUGCAUGGCCGUCGCCAGUUCGUACCGUGAGGCAUCCUGUUUAGUCAGGCAACGAUCGAGACCCGCAGUCUUAUUUGCCAGCAUGCCCUUUGGGGUGUAUGGGUACAAUAAGACGACCGCCAGCGCUAAGCUGGAGGAAGGAGCGGGCUACGGUAGGUCAGCAUGCCCCGAAUCCUCCGGGAUACACGCGGGCUACAAUGGUCAGGACAAAAGGUACCGACCUCGAAAGAGUGAGGUAAUCC